rnacentral:rRNA from 1 species
UACGUAGGUGGCAAGCGUUGUCCGGAAUCACUGGGCGUAAAGCGCGCGCAGGCGGCGAUCUACGUCUGGGGUGAAAGCCCGGAGCUCAACUCCGGGACUGCCUUGGAUACGGGAUCGCUUGAGGAUUGGAGGGGCAAGGGGAAUUCCACGUGUAGCGGUGAAAUGCGUAGAUAUGUGGAGGAACACCUGUGGCGAAGGCGCCUUGCUGGCCAAUUUCUGACGCUGAGGCGCGAAAGCGUGGGGAGCAAACAGG